AUUGAACGCUGGCGGUAGGCUUAACACAUGCAAGUCGAGCGAGCGGCGGAAGGGUGAGUAAUGUCUGGGAAACUGCCUGAUGGAGGGGGAUAACUACUGGAAACGGUAGCUAAUACCGCAUACCAUCAGAUGUGCCCAGAUCGGAUUAGCUAGUAGGUGGGGUAAUGGCUCACCAAGGCGACGAUCCAUAGCGGGUCUGAGAGGAUGACCAGCCACACUGGGACGGAGACACGGUCCAGACUCCUACGGGAGGCAGCAGUGGGGAAGAUUGGACAAUGGGGGAAAGCCUGAUGCAGCCAUGCCGCGUGUGUGAAGAAGGCCUUCGGGUUGUAAAGCACUUUCAGCGAGGAGGCGGUACUCGCAGAAGAAGCACCGGCUAACUCCGUGCCAGCCGCCGCGGUAAUAC
rnacentral:rRNA from 1 species